CCAGUUUAUAAUUGUUAUAAACAUCUGUGUGUUUCUUUGGGACUGAAUGGCUGUGGGACAGGGCAGGACAUAAACUCCAUUUAUAACAAUGGGCUACCAAGUUUCUGACACCUCCUUCCAUACCUGUCCAGGAAUGCACAGCUCAGUGUCUCUUCCAGAUUCCACCACCCAGUAAUCCUUGCCCACGGAAGGAAAGGUGUCUGCUUUUAAGGCCAUCAUGCAGCAUGCUCUAGAGAUUGCUGAGAGGUGUGAUAGCUUCUCUGACUUUCAAUUUCCCCAGAUCCGGGGACUUUCUUUCUCAGAUGAAAGUGAAACAUAGAAAGAAAUGCUUCUGAAAUCUGAUCUAAAACCUACUGCUUUAACAGGCCCCUGAGAAGCAACCCCCGUCAGUCAUUCUAUUGACUGUUUUUAAACAAAAUGAAGUGAUCUCUGUAUGAUAUCCGGAGGAAGAGAUUUACUAGGGUUAGCAACAAAAAGAAUGGGGACAUCCCAGAGAAAAGGGGGGUACAGAAGUAAGAGCAAGUAUUUGUUUUUUAAAGUGUCUGUUUAGAAUUUUGUGGUUGGAAACACUGAACUGGAGCUGUUUAAUCAAGCAGGGAAGGGAUACCUCAACCCACCAGGAGCAUAAAACUCCAAACCACUGCGCAACGUUUUGGCAAAUAACAAAACUGGAUGGAACCUUACGUGAUGUUGCCUCACUAGUUUCCAAACUCACGCUCCAGUCAGUUCAGGCUUCUUAGUGCCUCUCUGAUUCACAUCCAACAUGAAGCACUCCUAUUAGUUAGCAGCAAGAGCUUUAACAUGCCCAGAUCUUCCGAAGGCUAAGGCAGUGGCCAGCCAGAUGUUCAAGAGGGAUAUCGCUCUGCAGACUGACCACAGAUGCUGUGGUUCUAUAGCUGACCGUGGGCAGCUGACCCUGGAAAUGGAUAGCCACUUCCAUUCACACACUGUCGAAUGCCUCUGUUGACCUCAACACUGUCCAUUAGGAGACCACGUGAUCACAGAAGACUGGGCUGGACCAAGCAUGAAAGACCCUGUAGCUUGGCUUUUGCACUUUCAGAGGAGGAAUAGAGGUUCCAUUCGGAAGAUGGCCAUGGCUUAGUGAACUUCAUAAAACUUCCCAAAUGGUUAUCUCUAUAAAGAACUGAUAGAUGGGUUUGACUCUGCUUAAUGGGGGUCCAAACUUCCCUUUCCGAGUCCCAACAUGGGUUCCUAUCCAGCCCCUGUGGUAGAAGCCUUUAAGCUGCAGCCCCUAACAUGCACUACGGUUUGCCUUCUGCGAUUGUUUCGUAGGCGAGCGUCCCACCAGCCGGCAGCUCAGGGUGUUUGAGGGAGCAGAAACGAGUGACUUUUCAGUCCUAACUUGUGCCCUCUGGGGAAGAAAGUGUCUUGGUCAAAAUAAUAUGAACAGCAAGCCUCCUGAAAUGAAAAUGAACAAACGGCAUCCAGUUGGAGCCCAGGCUCCUUCCAGGUCUCCACCCACACAGGAAGAGGCUGUGCUUCCCGGUAUGCGCCUGCGCACUGCCUCUGGUGCUUAUUUCAAAACCCUGCCUGAGAAAGUUGCGCCGUUGCGCGGGACUCUUGUCACCUAGACAAACAGCUUAGUCUCCCCUUUGAACCCGAGGGAAGCCAGACAGAAAUUAUGUGAAUUUGACAAGCUGGAGAAAGAGGUUGUCCUUGGCUGUUGCUCAGACCCCUGAGGGACAUCUUCACAUAUGGCGCAAGACCUGCCCAGAAGGGAGGCCCUGGGCAGCCCCCAGGCUUCCCAAGGCCUCUUCUUUAUUAUCAGUUUCUCCCUUGCUUCUGCCUAAGCUAUCAGAGUCUGCAGGCAGGUUGGGCAGCUGGGCUGUACUCCCAGCAGCUCCGCUGUGAUUAAAAGGGCAACUGGGCCCCUCCACCUUUUCUUCCGGUGCCUGUGUGGGCAUCAUCUUGAGCAAGAGCUGCCUGGCAGGUGACCGCAGAUCCUGUAUAAUCCUUCUGCCUUGGCCUCCUUUCCCAAGAUCCCCUUCCGCUGUUCGCACUCACACUUGCUUUCUAACAGCUAGAAGGGAAUUAAAGUGUGCUAAAGGAACAGGCUAGAAGACUCGCAAGUCCAAUGGCAAAUCCGUUUUCUUUUUGCUUCACGUCCUACUAUUAUCUGUGGCGGUUGGGGUUUGGCUUUUGUGUCAUUAGAAAGGAACGUUGGUGUGCCCCAGAAUUUCUUAAGCAGCACUUGCAAAGCAAGUUGUGGAUUCCCGCUUCAGAACUCAAGCAGGCAAUGUAUAUUCUUGGGCAGUUACGUGUGAAGAAACGGCGUUUGGAGCAACAAACACUGACGGAACUGCCUACUGUUCUCCAAUCCCUGUGGUAGAACCCUGGAGAUACAAAGGCGAUAAGGCACACCCCGCCACCGCUAAGUCUGAAUUUCUCUCAAACUUUCACUUCACGGUAAAACACGAGACUGAUGAGCACUUUUUUUCCCUAACAAUGAUUUUAGGAGAGUGGGAUUGUGGGAUUGUCCAAGAAGCUCUUUGCAUCUAUUCAUGGCUGGGAGUGUGCACCUGUAGCAACCAGCAUAUACAGAAGAGGAAGCCUCCUUUAUUUACUUAAUGAUGCAUCCUGGGGUCUUUCAAUGCACAGGUUUCAGUGUGUUUCAAAGAAAUCUCACCUAGAGUCCUACUGUGAUGUGUGGAACAAGACCAAGCACUGCAGAGUAUUGGACAUGCUGUUGAUGGGAAGCGGACUCAAAGGAGAAUGAGAUCUCGGCAUCGGUGGCACAGAAAGUUGGAAGGGACUUGGCUGUGGAGGUAAUGGGAGAUCUCAGUAAGCAGCAAUGAAACAGAUGUGCAAAAGUACAGGAAUGACAGGCUCUAUAAUGUGUAAAAGCCAUAUGUCUGUCUUUAUGUGUACAGAGAAGUUUUUUAAAUAAUACUCAAUGAUAUUUGGUUGACGUUGGCAGUGGCAUAUGAACAUGAUUAGGCAUGGAUCUGAAAUACAGACCGUUUACCUGAGAUCGGGAUUGUGGGAGAUUCAUUUCACUAUGCUGAUGGAGAGAAGCUAUAUGGCAUGGCGUCGGGCGCAGACACAUUUGGAUCUUCGUCUUCAGCCAUUGACUGACACAGCUGAAUGAGAGGCCGGGGUAACACUGUGAGAUGGAGAAGACCUAAGCUGUAUUCUGCCUGGCUGCAUAAGUCAAAAUCUACGACAGCUCUCUGUGAAUCAUCCACACCAGUUCAAGAGGCAGAUGUGAUCAGCAGCAGCAGCUUCCUGAAGUCUCUGCAUCUUCGUGUGUCUGAGAGCGAACAGCAGAUGUGAAAGCAUGUGGCUUCCCCUCACCUUCCUUCCCUGAAUUCUCCUGGCUCUUCUACAAGUUUUGGAUGCACCCGAUUCCUUGUAUUAAAUUCCUUUUCUAACCCAAUAACAAAGUGUGACUUCUGGGUUUCUCUCCUAACAUACAUGAGGUCUGGAUGAAAGGGUGACAAAUAAUGAAGAAGCAUUUUGUUACAUGUACACAUGCGUACUAUUCAUUUUUACAAAUAACUGGGUGUCCCCUCCUUAAAAUUUGGAACAAAAAUGCUUGGCAUACAGCAUAGCAGGCAGCAAAUGAGGGAUCAUAAAGUAGAAAGAAACAAGAGGGAAGUAAAAAGUUCAGUCCAAUUGAGAUCCUGGGGUCAAGGGAAUUUAGUACUAACCAAAGAAAAAUGCUAUAGGUAAGUUCACUAACAUCAGGAAACAAACAAAGGGUGACUAGUUAAAUGUGAGCUGUACAUAAAUAAUACUGCAAGUAGAGACUAUUCCAGAAAAGAUGGUUGUGUCCUAAUCCCUGAACCCUACAAAUAAAUACAUGACCAUGCUUGGCAAAUGGGACUCUUACAUGAUUACAGACCCGGAUCUUGAGACAGGGGGAGUAUUCUGAAGUAUGUGGGGGAACCCUAUGUGGUCACCUGGGUGUUUAAGAAGGGGGAACGUUUGCCAACUACAAUCAGAAGAAGAGGUAGCUGAGGAAGGAAGACGUGGGUGGCUCUGAAGAUGAAGGAAGAGUCCAUGAGGCAAGUAUACGGGUGGCCCCAGAAGUUACCAAAGAAAAGAAAAUGUGUUAUCUCCUGCAACCUCCAAAAUGGACUGGACCCCUGCCUGACUCUGUGUUCCCAACCCACUGAUGUCUGUGUCAAAAUUCUAAAUAACAAACUUGUAAGUUAACUUAUAAGCCACUAAAUGUGGAAUGGUUUGUCCCAGGAACAAUAGACAUCCAAAUACAAACAGCUGAUAAUUUUAGUCUAAAUUUGGUCAUAUGGUAUUUGGAAUAUAUACUUAACGAG